CCCCAAAACCCCUCUCAGAUCAUCCCCCUCUACCUUCUCUCAGCCUCCGCCACACGCCAUCGCCGGGAUUCGCCCACCGCGGCGACCAACCUCCAACUAGCCCCAAAUUAUCACCAGAUAUUUCUUGCUUUCUCCUCUUGACCAUCCCACAUUUAGCUUCUUCCAGAACCUCAAUGAAUCCUUCGAAUGUAGAUCUAGGAACUGAACCCUAGCCUCCACUCGGUCCUUCUUUAUUUCCUCGAUCGAUCUGCUCUCUUUUACGGUUGAGACUUAUAUCAGUAGAAAGCUGCUUAUCAGAGCUAUCCACUGAUGUAAGAUUCACUCCGUUUCUCGGAGGUCAGAUUUUGGUCAACCAGCCGUUGACCGGCCAGAACUUUUUCUAAGGUUGUUAAAUUUGAAGCCAAAAAGUGGGAUUAAACACUCUGAUGAUGGGCAUGCUUGAAUUAAGAGCUGAGCAUCUUCUGUUUAUGUUUGGAUAUUGUUAUAAAUAAACUGUAAGUAUAGUAAAACUACUUAUUCCUUGUUGAUUUCAUUAAGGAUUGUAAUUAAGAGGCUUAGUUGUAAAUUCUAGGAUUUUAGUUAGUUGUGAAAUUCAAAUGCAAGCUUUGGAGAUGAUGCUUAUUCGCAGUUAGUUUUCUGAUAGCAUGAAGAUCUGGAUAAGGAUAGAAAAUCAUUCUAAUCACAAUAUUUGAGUCAUUGUUAUGAUUAUUAAAAUUUGGCUAUUUUGCCAUUUGAAUGCAUAUAUAAACACAAUCACGAUUCUUUUUUA